UACGGAGAGCGCAAGCAUUAAUCGGAAUUAUUGGGCGUAAAGGGCGCGUAGGCGGGUUGGUCAGUCAGAUGUGAAAUUCCGGAGCUCAACUUCGGAGCUGCAUUUGAAACUGCCAUUCUAGAGGGUUGACGGAGAAAACGGAAUUCCACGUGUAGCGGUGAAAUGCGUAGAUAUGUGGAAGAACACCAGUGGCGAAAGCGGUUUUCUAGUUAAUACCUGACGCUGAGGCGCGAGAGCAAGGGGAGCAAACAGG
rnacentral:rRNA from 1 species